UACGUAGGGGGGCAAGCGUUGUCCGGAUUUAUUGGGCGUAAAGAGCGUGUAGGCGGCUUCACAGGUCCGCUGUGAAAACUCGAGGCUCAACCUCGAGCUGUCGGUGGAAACCGUGUGGCUAGAGUCCGGAAGAGGAGAGUGGAAUUCCCGGUGUAGCGGUGAAAUGCGCAGAUAUCGGGAAGAACACCCGUGGCGAAGGCGGCUCACUGGACCAUAACUGACGCUGAUGCACGAAAGCUGGGGGGAGCAAACAGG
rnacentral:rRNA from 1 species